rnacentral:rRNA from 1 species
UACCAGCACCCCGAGUGGUCGGGACGAUUAUUGGGCCUAAAGCAUCCGUAGCCGGUCCUACAAGUCUUCCGUUAAAUCCACCUGCUCAACAGAUGGGCUGCGGAAGAUACUAUAGGGCUAGGAGGCGGGAGAGGCAAGCGGUACUCAGUGGGUAGGGGUAAAAUCCGUUGAUCCAUAGAAGACCACCAGUGGCGAAGGCGGCUUGCCAGAACGCGCUCGACGGUGAGGGAUGAAAGCUGGGGGAGCAAACCGG